CAUUUUUCUCACUUGACC
rnacentral:rRNA from 1 species